rnacentral:rRNA from 1 species
UGGGAUACCCCGUUGAAAGACGGCCUAAUACCCGAUGUAGUUCAUUGAUGGCAUCAGAUAUGAAUAAAGAUUUAUCGGUAAAGGAUGGGGAUGCGUCUGAUUAGCUUGUUGGUGAGGUAAAGGCACACCAAGGCAACGAUCAGUAGGGGUUCUGAGAGGAAGGUCCCCCACAUUGGAGCUGAGACACGGUCCAA